GACAGAGGUGCCAAGCGUUAGGCGGAAUCACUGGGCUUAAAGCGUGUGUAGGCGGGCGGGCAAGUACCUUGUGAAAUCCCACGGCUCAACCGUGGAACGGCUGGGUAUACUGCCUGUCUUGAGCCAACUAGGGGCGAGCGGAACAGACGGUGGAGCGGUGAAAUGCGUAGAUAUCGUCUGGAACGCCGAAGGUGAAAACAGCUCGCUGGGGCUGUGCUGACGCUGAGACACGAAAGCCAGGGGAGCGAACGGG
rnacentral:rRNA from 1 species